rnacentral:lncRNA from 1 species
GAAGAUAACUACUAAGCAAGUUGAAACCAGAAAAAGAAAAAAUAAGAACAGGAUUUCCCAAGAAGAUGAAUUCAAACAACACUUAGUGAUUGGCUGGAACCCAUCGAGGACCACCCAAACUAACCUGUGCUCGUUUUUUCUUUGUGAGAAGUGGACUAAUAGAAAGGAACUAUCUCAUCAUAUCCGUACAUAAUAAGGGUGAUUUGAUUCUUGUAUUGUUACAAAAUUUUACAUCAAAAGCCUUGAUCAUUGCCUUGUAUGUUACAGCUGCUAUGCUUUAAGUUUAGGAUAAUGGCUUGCUCCCUUUCCCUCGUGUACAACACCUCGAUUGCUAUAUAUUCUUGUAUCUGGUUAAUUGUAAAUCAAUACUGAACUAU